rnacentral:tRNA from 1 species
GCGGGUAAUUGUUACUAUAUCGGAAUGAUACUUCUAAUCUUGAGGCCGGUGGUUCGAUUCCACCAGGGCGCGCCA